rnacentral:rRNA from 1 species
UACGUAGGUGACAAGCGUUGUCCGGAUUUAUUGGGCGUAAAGAGCGUGUAGGCGGCCAUACAGGUCCGUUGUGAAAACUGGAGGCUUAACCUCCAGACGUCGAUGGAAACCGUAUGGCUAGAGUCCGGAAGAGGAGAGUGGAAUUCCUGGUGUAGCGGUGAAAUGCGCAGAUAUCGGGAAGAACACCCGUGGCGAAGGCGGUUCUCUGGGACGGUACUGACGCUGAGACGCGAAAGCGUGGGGAGCGAACAGG